rnacentral:rRNA from 1 species
UACGUAGGGUGCAAGCGUUGUCCGGAAUUAUUGGGCGUAAAGAGCUCGUAGGCGGUUUGUCGCGUCUGCUGUGAAAACCCGAGGCUCAACCUCGGGCCUGCAGUGGGUACGGGCAGACUAGAGUGCGGUAGGGGAGAUUGGAAUUCCUGGUGUAGCGGUGAAAUGCGCAGAUAUCAGGAGGAACACCGGUGGCGAAGGCGGGUCUCUGGGCCGUAACUGACGCUGAGGAGCGAAAGCGUGGGGAGCGAACAGG